rnacentral:rRNA from 1 species
UACAGAGGUGGCAAGCGUUGUUCGGAAUUACUGGGCGUAAAGGGCGCGUAGGCGGUUCGUUAAGUCCUGUGUGAAAUCCCCCGGCUCAACUGGGGAACUGCACAGGAAACUAGCGGGCUUGAGUUCGGGAGAGGGAAGCGGAAUUCCGGGUGUAGCGGUGAAAUGCGUAGAUAUCCGGAGGAACACCGGUGGCGAAGGCGGCUUCCUGGACCGACACUGACGCUGAGGCGCGAAAGCUAGGGGAGCGAACGGG